AACGCGAAGAACCUUACCUGGGCUCGAAAUGUACAGGAAUCCGGUGGAAACAUCGGCGCCCCGCAAGGGGCCUGUAUAUAGGUGCUGCAUGGCUGUCGUCAGCUCGUGUCGUGAGAUGUUGGGUUAAGUCCCGCAACGAGCGCAACCCUUAUUACCAGUUGCUACCAUUUAGUUGAGCACUCUGGUGAGACUGCCUCGGAUAACGGGGAGGAAGGCGGGGAUGACGUCAAGUCCUCAUGGCCUUUAUGUCCAGGGCUACACACGUGCUACAAUGGCCGGUACAAACCGUCGCAAACCCGUGAGGGGGAGCUAAUCGGAAAAAGCCGGCCUCAGUUCGGAUUGGAGUCUGCAACUCGACUCCAUGAAGCUGGAAUCGCUAGUAAUCGCAGAUCAGAACGCUGCGGUGAAUACGUUCCCGGGCCUUGUA
rnacentral:rRNA from 1 species